rnacentral:tRNA from 1 species
CGCACGCAUGGCGGACACGGUGAUCGCCGAGGGCUGGGCGCCCUCCGAGCGGGUUCAGGCCGCGCUGCGCGCGG